rnacentral:rRNA from 1 species
CCCUGGCUCAGGACGAACGCUGGCGGCAUGCCUAAUACAUGCAAGUCGAGCGGAGUAGAAUGGAAGCUUGCUUCCAUUCUUACUUAGCGGCGGACGGGUGAGUAACACGUAGGCAACCUGCCCUCAAGACUGGGAUAACUACCGGAAACGGUAGCUAAUACCGGAUAAUUUCUUUCCUCUCCUGAAGAGAGAAUGAAAGGCGGAGCAAUCUGCCACUUGGGGAUGGGCCUGCGGCGCAUUAGCUAGUUGGUGGGGUAACGGCUCACCAAGGCGACGAUGCGUAGCCGACCUGAGAGGGUGAACGGCCACACUGGGACUGAGACACGGCCCAGACUCCUACGGGAGGCAGCAGUAGGGAAUCUUCCGCAAUGGGCGAAAGCCUGACGGAGCAAUGCCGCGUGAGUGAUGAAGGUUUUCGGAUCGUAAAGCUCUGUUGCCAGGGAAGAACGUCCGGUAGAGUAACUGCUACCGGAGUGACGGUACCUGAGAAGAAAGCCCCGGCUAACUA